UACAUAUUUAAUCAUUUUUUUUGCAGAAAGUUUUGGCGCAUGUUUGGUAUUUUUUUUUUUUUUUUUUUUUGUAUUAUUCUCUAUCCAAAUGGAAGUUAAAAGCUCAUCAUCAACAUCAUUUAAGUUUUAGAUAAUUAAUUAAGUAUUUAAUAUAUGAUUUAAUUAAGUGGUCAAGUGUUGUCAUGUGUGUCUUUGGUUGGUAUUUAGCAAUAAAAAGGGUGUUGUACAAAAUUGUAACAGAGUGGGAUUUUACAGUGAAAAUCUUUGUUUUGGAGUUGUAACUUUUGUAAAAGAAUGGGUAGUUUUAUCACAAACAUUCCUAAUAAAAUGUCUUAGCAGAAGGAUCAGCCUUAGCAGAAGGACCCACUAAUUAAAUUGCAAUUUUACAUUACUUGAUUUGCAAAAGUAUUUUUGGUUUACAAAUUAAACUUUAGUUCAGUAGAUGUUCUAGAUGUUGAAACUAAUGUGAGGGAGUGGAAGAGAGAUGUGAGUUCUUGGGAGUGUGGAUGAGAAGUGAGUUUUGAGGAGAAAUUAGGAUUGCUAUAGUAAGUAGCUCUACCUCAAGUAGUUGAAAGUUAUCAUUGUUGUUACACUUUGCUCUCGUUCCUGUAUAAAACGUAGUGAGAUUUACAGAUUAUAUUUAUGGUAUAUGUUUUUUCACUAGACCAAAUGUUUCAUGUAUGUUAGGAAAAAAAUGCAAAAAAGGGGUUGUUUAUGUUAUUUUUAUAUUUCUUUUAAAGGUGAAAAGUGGUGGAAUUAAGAGUUUCAAACUAUGGAAGUAGUAAAAUUUGGAAGAGGGACGUGUGAUAGAAUAUAAUGGUAGUGUCAUCUAGGACAAUGAAGCACGAAUAGUCAAAGAGGAAAUGAAAUGCCAACAAUGUCAUGAAAAACAGUUAAAGGUUCAACCUUGAAUUAUUAUUAUUAUUAUUCAUGUUAAAUCUUCUUUUUUUUAGUGUUUAAAGCCAUGUAUUCAGAGGAAAAUCCGGAGCUUGUGCUGCAUUCCUUGCAAAUUAUGAUACUAGAUCAACUGUAAGAGUGAGUUUCAACAAUUUGCCAUAUGACCUCCCACCUUGGUCCAUUAGCGUUCUUCCAGACUGCAAAAGUACUGUAGUUUACGACACUGCAAAGCUAAGAAAAUUACUAAUGAUUAUGUUGAACUAAUAAUAACUCAGUUACUUCAAGCAUAUAAAGUUCUAUUGCAAUGGGCAAAGUGGGUUUUAAAACCACUAUUAGGUUGUUACUAUGAUUAUGAUAUUUUCUUUGAACAUUGUCUAUGGCUCAAGUCGAUACUUUUUCCUCACCUGCUUGUUCCACGGACUCCUUGCUCCUCUCUACAAGGUAGGAAUAAUAUUUAGUGUAUAAUUUUUUUUUCUAAGAUUGUAUUUUUUAAUUAAUUACUCUCUUCUUGUUCUUUUCUUUAACUGUUUUUUUUUAUACAUAUGGAGGAUAGGCUUGUGUAUUGUAAGUGCAAAUUUUUACUUAGUUAUGAAGGUUGGACUUAUAUAUUGAAAGUAUUGUAAGAAAUAUUUAUUAUAUACACUUUAUGUAAUAUUACUCAUGUAAUUGUCUUAAUUUGAAUUUAUUUUUUAUUAA